GACGAACGCUGGCGGCAGGCCUAACACAUGCAAGUCGAGCGAGCGGCGGACGGGUGAGUAAUGUCUGGGUAACUGCCUGAUGGAUGGGGAUAACUACUGGAAACGGUAGCUAAUACCGCAUACCCUCAGAUGUGCCCAGAUGGGAUUAGCUGGUAGGUGGGGUAACGGCUCACCUAGGCGACGAUCCCUAGCUGGUCUGAGAGGAUGACCAGCCACUCUGUAACGGAGACACGGUCCAGACUCCUACGGGAGGCAGCAGUGGGGAAUAUUGCACAAUGGUCGCAAGCCUGAUGCAGCCAUGCCGCGUGUGUGAAGAAGGCCUUCGGGUUGUAAAGCACUUUCAGCGGGGAGGCGUUACCCGCAGAAGAAGCACCGGCUAACUCCGUGCCAGCAGCCGCGGUAAUAC
rnacentral:rRNA from 1 species